rnacentral:rRNA from 1 species
UACGUAGGGUGCAAGUGUUGUCCGGAAUUAUUGGGCGUAAAGAGCUCGUAGGCGGUUUGUUGCGUCGGCUGUGAAAUCCCGAGGCUCAACCUCGGGUCUGCAGUCGAUACGAGCAAACUAGAGUGUUGCAGGGGAGACUGGAAUUCCUGGUGUAGCGGUGAAAUGCGCAGAUAUCAGGAGGAACACCGGUGGCGAAGGCGGGUCUCUGGGCAACAACUGACGCUGAGGAGCGAAAGCGUGGGGAGCAAACAGG